GCUGCCUGGCAGAGGGUGUGGGUCCCAAGCUGUGUGCCUUCAGCUCAAAAUAGUGAUCGCAUUGCUGGUUUAGCUCCGUGGCAAGUGGUGCCUGAACAGAGACCGGUGAUCAACUGAGCGUACGGCACUGAGCGUACGGACAGAAGCACCAGUGUUGCAGUGGUGAGCUGGGGGAUAUGGUUGCCCAGACCGACCAAGAGGGGUCUGCGCAGAUCCAGAGGGCAAAGAGUGGAGCUCCAAUAAUCUCAAGUGGGUGCUGUGAGAGCGGUGGGAUGCAGGUUGCAGUGCACCAUGGAAAGAGAGGUGUUCCACUUGGGCCCUGUAUCAUGCACUGGCCAUGUGGAUGCAGCGUACAAAUGGAAAAUACCUUUUGGACCCUGAGAAGAAUAAAGCGAGAAAGAAUCUGUGAUAAGUAAGAGAGGAAAGUGCACCUUGAAGCAGGGGACGCCCUUGCUGGCACUGCCUAUCGUAUUCACCACCACCACGUGUUUGCUCUUUUUAGUAGGUUAACAGUAUUUCUUGUCAUUAUGCUAUGUUUGUCUUUCUAACAUUUCAAGUAUUGUCAAUCGAGGCCUUGAUUGAGUUAUAAUGAUUAUGUUAUUAAUAUAAUUAGUGUUACAAUUCUACACAACAACAGCCGUAGACAAGGACUAACCUUUUUCAACGGAUCCAGCAUAUCUGCACCUCAAUGCACUAUUCUUGUUUUAAUGACUAAGAGAAAUAACAGUAGAAAGUAGGGGACACGAUAGCUUGGCAUAGAGAGGGGGGAGAUAUGGGCAGUACACCACCCCCUGUAACUACCACCCACCUUGGCCCAGGUGCCACAUGUUGAUUAUUAUUUUGAUACUUAUCGCAGUGCACAUUGCUUAUGGCUACAUCAUGUGGGAAAUCGAAAGGAUUGUGCAAGGGGCUAUGCUCGGACAAAAAGAAAAAAGGGGGAAUUGUUGGGGAAUAGCUCCGGGAACAAGGAGGCCAUGAGGAGAUGUACAAGCACAGCCUGUAUGGCAGUACAGAUUGUAUACCCAUGGAAAAAUUCUGGAGGCUAACAGAAGGUCACAAUGUUAUUGUGAGCAGGAGGGAGUAGCCCGAGGAGGAACUUGGUUUAAUGGAGUUGACAAAAACAGAUAGCACAUAGUUAGAUUCUUCUCUGCCAAGAAACGACUGUUGUCCACCAAUAGCAAGGCAACAUGAUAGCUAAAGCCAACAAUAAAAACUCUAUGUAAUUGUUAAUAAACUGAA